UGGCCGUGGCGGCCGGGCUUAUAGCGGCUCCUCCCCGCCGGCGGAGGAGGGCCCGGGGCCGGGAGGGGCCGCGCUUCCCGUAAGGGCGGCGGGGGGAGGCGGGACGCGGCCGCGCCCGGGGCGGGGACGCGGUGGCAUGGAGACGGUCGCGGCCCCGAGAAGGGCAGUCAGCGGGUAGACGAGGCGGCCCCCGCGGCCCUAAGGGGGCGGGCAGCGGGUAGACGAGGUGGGCCCCGCGGCCCUGAGGGAGCAGGCAGCGGGUAGACGAGGCCUCCCCCACGGCCCCGAGGGGGCAGGCAGCGGGUAGACGAGGCCUCCCCCACGACCCCGACCCCGACCCCGACCCCAACCCCAUCCUCAUCCUCCAGCACAGCUCGGGGGAUUCAGCUCUGGGCCACAGUCGAGCGUGGAGCAGGCAUCGGGCAGGCCCGAAAGAUGUUUGUUUUUCAGGUUGCAGCACGCUGCCGUGAUACAGCCGGAGCCCAGCAGAGAGAAGCGGACACAAGCUUUACCGCCUGCGCCAGAAGGGGAAGGGGACUUCCAGGCCAUGUUGCGAAGUGGCAGUAAAAAAAGUGGAAAGAAAACUCCCACAGAACUGCCUUAACAUCAGAUAGAGACAACAGGCGUGAUGAGCCCUGCAAAGCCCCGUGGCACAGGGUGAUCUGGACAAGGGAGCGCCUGUGCAGCAGUCACACAGAAAGCAAGAGAGUGUCCUGUGGGUUUAGAACAAACAAAAAACAGCUUCAGCCUUCAUGAGUCAGAGCCCGGAAAAACACCUUGCUUUGGAGACUGCCUGGAUUUCAGUGGGAUUUUGCCUUCAGAAAAGCUGGGAUGAGUUUCACAGAAGCUAGCAUCACUUACAGUGUGCAAACUCUACACAAUCAGAAGCCUGAUUAAAAACAACAACAACAAAAAAGUAUUUCUCUUAGUCAUAGAUGCAUCAGAUGUAAAACAGUCAUUUGAUUCAGUAGAUACACCAACCUUCAGAAUGGGAGAAGUUCCAGGAUUUUCCUAAAAGGACGGGGGCUCCACAUGAAUCACCCUCGCCUUUCGACUCCUUUCACCAGUGGCACGUGCCAGGAUGUCUCAUGGUUAUUAAAGUGGCAAGCAAGGGGAGGACAUCCAGAUCUGAGGGCAAACAUUCCCUGGCUUCAAUGCUUUUCAUGAACCUUUCCCAAGCAGUUAGCACAUACUGUUACCAACAAGGUAAAAACAAUUAACCACUUAUCCCUCUGCCCUGUGCAUCCCCAAUGCCUCCCGCACUGGAAUGUAAAUGUUCAAAAAAGAAGAAAAAAAAAACCACCAUCAGACACUACCCCCACCUUCAUCCUGCCUCACCAAGCUGAAAGACGUAGAACUCCUUCCCAAAGGUGAUCAUUCUGAAACCUUCCGCCUGCAGGCAGGAAAUGCUGUGUGGGCUCCACCUUCCUGUUCUCAGAUGCAUUAUAUCACUGGAACAUGUUCAACUGAAUACUUUUCUUCGAAAUAAGGCUAUUUUGUUCCAGCCAGGGCCGGCAUUUGAUUGACUGGUAGCUGAAGGGCCAUGGUGCCCUCAGUCUUGAAUAACGCAUGGUAGGGCAGUGCCCCAGGCCAGCCCUCGCCCAGCUCUUUCCUGAAGCAAAGCAUGCUGCAGUUGGAGACCCGAAUGGCCUCGCAGUGCAUUCACAAGGUACCAAGACACCUCUUUGCAAAGCGAGGGCAUGGAUGGACCUACAUCACCAAUUGCAGCAGCACAUGGAGCAUUGCUCUGCUCAUCUACCUUUUCCAACCCCUUCUCCCCAGGUGUGGCAGCCUGCUGAACCAGGGCAGCUCGGGAGCUCUGUCUCCCAAAGCCAUGGAAGACACUCAUCAUCAGCUGGAAACACAGAGGUCAGCCCUAGGAGGAUUGCCUUUCACCUGGACAAACAGGCAGUCCUUGCUGCAAAGAAAAGGAAAAUCCAAAUGGGACAAGAAAUAGAAACUGAGGUGCAGAAGGGCAGAGUGACAAAGCCAUGGACAAACAGCUGAUGUGUACCACAGCAGGAAGAGUCAUGAUUUCACUCAGAAAUCAAAAUAUCUACUUGUAGCAGUACUUGUUGGACAGAAGAAUCGGGACAGCAGGAUGUUAGCAGUAAAUUUGUUGACACAGAAUGUACAUUUCAAAGAGUGGAUAUGAAAUUUUUGGAAAACACACAUAUAUUGGACAUAUUUUACAACAAUGAAAAUAAUUGUAAUAUUUGCUUGUUAUUGGAGUUCUUGAUUUGUUUAUUAGAUUUUUAAGACAGUAUCUUCUUUCCUUAUAAAAAUAACCUUUUAUUUCUAGCUUUACUCUGCUGCAAAGGGAAAAAGAAGAGAGCAGAAACAAAUAAUAAUACAAGCACAGAGGGCAAAAACUAUCAAUAAAGAUGAAACAGAAAGGGAAGAAAAAAUUAGAAGGAAGAAACAGCUAAGACAGAAAUACCUGCCUCACCAGUGGCAAGUGACAAUUCCCUGAGAGAAUCUGAUUCAGGCAGAGAAAAAGUGUAGACAGGACUGGAAAGCAUGACUCACCUGUCCCAGGGAAAAACAGAGGGUAGGAAGGAGUGGAAAGAACUGAGUGCAGGAUGGCGAGAAAAAAAAAAAAAAAAAGUGUCAGCGUGUCCUGGUUCUUCUGCCUUUUACUUCAGGUACUUUUGUGAUGCCUCCCACGUGUUGAGCUCCAAAUAAGCAAGUCCCACCUUGAAGCUCUUUUGGGAGAUCCUUCAGAGCAAGAUGCCCUGCUGUGGCAGAGCAGUAGUGCUUGUCACAUACCUAGUCCCCAUCAUUGCAAAAAAAACAGCGAUGGAUAUUUAGACAGAGUGAAAAGGAAGAGCCCUUUAUCAAGCUGGACCUAAAUAAAUAAAUAAGUAAAUAAAUAAAUAAAUAAACAAAACACAAAAACAAAAACCAGGCUCAUGCAGAUGUGCAGAAGACCCAAGCAUGAGGGCAGCAGGUGAAAAACACUUGUCUAUUUUCAGGGCCAGCCAGGGAAAGGAGAGAACAGCAAGAGGAGUGGCCAGACAAGAUUUUUAAUGGAUGGCUGAACUGAGGAACGCAGACAGCCAUAGCAUGGACCUGCUGUCAGAUCACACAGUCUUACACGGUUUUCCCCAUUGCAGGAAAAAGAGAUUUGAGACGGGCUGUUCUAUUCCAUUAAAGUUUACUCCUCCAGAUGCUUUUGUGAUACAGGUGGGGAAAAAAUAGAGAUUUAACAGAAAGUUUAGGGUGGGAAAAAAAAAUCAUUCUCAGAAGGGCAGUGUUAAGCCUACCUGAAAGUUAUCAACGUCUAUAUUAUCAACUGAAUUUCAUUCUAAAUUGAACUCCAAAUAAAAGAGGUUCAUCCAGUGGUGUUUGUGCCAUUCAUUUUCAAGACACAGCUGCUCAGGAAUUACAAGAAAAUGAAUGAGCAUAAGCUUUGAGACUACUACAUUGUGGCUCAUAUUUUUCAUCUGAGAGUCAUCCCAGGCUCUUUUUCAAUGCCUCAAAACCCUCAUCUGGCUCCAUGCAUUAAUGAUUCACUAAUCUGUUAAGCCCAUACCAGCUGACAGAGCUGAGAUGUGGGGCAGUUCAUAGUGUACUUUCACUUGAGUUUAGUAUGUGCUCAAUCCACAUGUGAGGCUCAUACAAAACAACUCAAACACUCUUAAUUCUCUAGCAGCCUCCCACAGACUCCCUCUGCUCCACUCCAGGCAGAGAAGUUCCUGUGCAAUUCUCCAUGACAGAACCAGAAAGCACACCAGCUUAUUUCACUCCCCCAAAAAAACAUCUAAUAUGCCCACCAGAGUCUAGCAAAACCAACAGUGAAGGAGGAUGCAGUAACCUGGACAGCAUUUUAAUCACUGCUAAGUUACUAGGGGCACUGCCAGGGCUAGGUUACUUAACGAGAGAGCUCAGACCUGGGUGACGAGCACCAGAAUUAACAUUUCAGGUGAGACUCAGGUCCAGAUUCAGGGAGAUAAUGAAACAUUUCCCUCAUUUCAAAUACAUUGGUCUUGUAUUGUAAAUAGGACAGCUAAUGCGUUGGAAAUUAUCCAAAAUCUUGCUAACUGAGGAUGCAGUGUUAAAACCACAGGACGAACACAACAAGACCCAUUUCAACUGGAUCAAAAACCCUAAGGUCUCAGCUCUUUGCCAUUCCCAGUGAGCCUCCUACUGAUCUGCCUGGCACUACAGGGCUCCAGUCUCACUCUCGGACAUGCAGGUUCCAGUCCCUUCUGUGCCAAGCACUUGUGUCAUGUGAGGCAAGUUAUUCACCUUCGCUGAGUCACGAAGCAGCACAUGACACAUGAAAGCCUGUCUGCGGACUGCUCCUUACUCUAGUUAUAAAUGUUUUGGUUUUAUUUUAAAAAGUUCCCCACCUCUGUUAUCUGCCAUGUCUACAUACACGUGAAAACCUAGUAUACGUGGCUGUGUAAACAAGCUGCAAGCAGAAAGUCUUGCAGCGAUACCUACACCUAACAAAUGAGUGCUACGGCAUUGCUAUCAGGGAGAUAUAGUAAAGAAAGAGCAGCCUGGGUGAGAAGAAUUGUUCCAUUUUGUUGCAUGUGGAGAAAUAUAUAUAUAUAUUUUAUAUAUAUAUUUUAUAUAUAUAUACACACACACACACACAUAUAUAUAUAUAUAUAUUUCAGAGUGUUAUAUCCAAGUAGUGACUCCAUCCCACACAACUAGCAUUGCCUUUGAAAACCUUCACAUUAGGGAAGUUAGGGAUUUGGUCAUCUCCUUAGACCUUUAGUCUUCUUAGACUGAAAGGACAAGACCUUUGCAUGAUGUCCGUCCUUUCCCUCCUUCCUAUCCUCUUUGCUUCCCCUCUUUCCUAUUCCUCAUUCCCACUGGCUCUCUAAGCAUGUCAAUGGCCUGAUCUCACACCACACUGAAAAGCAUCUUAAUCUUUGCAGCCCCUCUGCUUCUUUUUUUUUGGCUAAGAGAGCAGGUAGGAUACAAUGGCAGUAUGCUUUGCUUUCAGUUUCCCGAGCAAAACACAGGGGAAGCUACUUUGCCACUGCCCUGUUACCUAGUUAGUGGCUGUCAGGUGGCAUUGCCGACAGCAGGCUGGGGCUUGAACUUGCUUCUGUUUUAGAGGAACAACCUCACGUACGAGCAGCACCCUAAAUCACACCACAGGACAUGGCAUCAUACCCUGCUUCCUUCAGUGGUCAGCAUCAAACAAGAGGGAGAACAGAAAAACAGUGCAAACGCUUAGCAAUCCUGCCUCAGCAUACUCUCUUACAGUCUCCAUGAACUUGUAGGUGAGGGAUUUUUCCAAGUCAAGCAGGGCAUUACUGGCUAUGCACACAGGAAAUCAGUGCACAGGGCAAUGCACCCUGCUGACUUGUUUCACAGCUGUCAAUCCCGGUUGCAACGUAACCCCAAGGCAACUCGAGACAGCAGUCCCUCCACCACCUCCAUCCUGGCCCUCAAGCCACCCAAGCGGCUCUCAGGUCUGUGCUGUGCGGCAGCUCCUUCCCUCUCUCCUAUGACCCUGCAAGCACACCUCUUGUCCUGGCAUGGAGCAGGCAUGCAGCCAGGCACUGCAGGAUUUCUUCCAUUACUUGCAGUAAAAAUUGUUUCAAAGCUAGAGAAUCCAUGAGCACACUGCAUCUCCUCUGCUCUUCACAUUGCUUUUUUAAAAUGAAAUGGCUUAAGCAUUUUCCAUUGGCCAUCUGGCCUUUAAAAGCCCUCAAAGAAAGAAACCUCUGUUACGUACAAAGCUUUCUUACGUGUCAGGACUGCUAUGCUGACAAGAGGAAACAUCGUGUUUCAGCACUAGGUCUCAUGCCAGGCUUGUGCCACUUGCGCAGAUCAAUCCCCUCCAAAUAUACAUCAUCAGAAAAAAAAAAAAAACACAAACAUUUCAAGUGAUUUUAAUCUAUAAACCACUGUAUAAAACUUCUAACCAACAUGCAACACAAAAUGUAAUAGGUAAAACUAAGGGAAAUAUGACACACUUCUAGAGCAGCUAUAAAAACAGAAAGGAAAGUUAAUGUGGGGUUUGGGCAAACAAGAUAAACUGAUGCUAAAUCAGAUAAAACAAUUUUAGUGCACAAACUUGCCGUCUUUACUAGGAA